rnacentral:lncRNA from 1 species
GGGGUCAGCACUGGGUAACUCACACCAGGCAACUUAUUGAUUCCUUGCAUGACUUCAGCAUGGUCGGCCAUCUGCGGCACCCAUCGUGGGGACACAAAACUGGUGGCCUCGAUAACCGGCAGCCCCGUCUCCGACAACAUGUCGAUCAGGCGGAUCUUCACUGGCGUCGGCACCACGCUCUUCUCGUUCUGCAGCCCGUCGCGCGGCCCCACCUCCACCACCUUCACUCUCUGCGGGAAGGCCGCGGUGCUGACCGGCCGCAAGGACACAGCCCAGCGCGGCAGCAACCUCCGCACCGCCGCCAUGGCUGCCCGAACCUCCUCACGUGACAGCUACCACGUGAUUCAGAGAGGGCGGAGCUCUGCAGUCACGUGAGAGCGGCGCCAGAGUGUGGGAGUACCUGGCGGCGGGUGGUAUCACGUGACAGCGGUACGGCUGCGAACCGCGGCAUUGUGCGCUGAGAGUGCCUCGCGACGCGCUCAGGAUGCGUUCGGGACGAGCCUCGCCGAGCGCCGCCUCUUAUAGCCGCACGCCGUGCUCGGCGCCGCUGAGCAAACAGCUCGUGUUUGCCCAGGGCCACCCCGCGCCGCGUCACCGGCGGGCCUCCCGUGCCAGGGCCGUCAGCGCGGGCCGUUCCGCAGCCUGCGAAUGGGGAAACGCCGCCGCAGAUCUCCGAGCGCGUCCGCCCCCACCGAGACGCGGAGCAACGCCCGGGCUGACGCCGUGCCGGGACGCGAUGCGCAGCCCCGUGCCAGGCCUCGCCUCCAGACCCUCACGCAGCCUCCCCCCCCCACCUCCAGCAGCGGGGCGGGGGCUCAGAUUUAGACCAAGACCCCUUUUCCCUGGCAGAACGCCGCCGGGCUGGCAGCAAGGCCUGAUGAUGCCUUACAGAAUGGUUAGAAGAUAAAUCCUGUCAUGAAAAACAAUUUAUUUAACAGUGAAUGAACAACUCAUCUGAGGCUCAAUCGAAAAGACGGGUGGGGGGCGGCCGCUUUCAGCCCGUGGCUGUCACUUCACGCCCUCCAGCCGAACAGCCCAACCCGGCUGUGAGCGCACAGGAGACGGAGGCGCGUCAGGCAAAGUCACCAGCAGUCCUUCACCGGGAGGCUGCUGCCACUGCAGAGUCCCCGCAAAACCCAACAUCGUCACUUGCGUGGCUGGGGAUGGAGUGGGCACAGACAGCUGCAACACACUGUUCUGAGGCCAGGUCAGAAAGAUGGCAUAGACAACUGCUCCUUUGGAAGUAUACCAGACAGUGUCUGUGCUGUUCUCCAUCUGUACUCUCCAUGGCUUUGACUCAUAAAUUGCCUCCCCGUUAGUGUCCAGCCA